ACCCCGUACCUUAAAAUUUUUACUAGUUAAAUUUUACCGUUAUUGACCGAAGAGUGACUUUUUCUUUAGUCCGGUAAAUUAGGAAAUUUCCUUGAGAAUGUCGUAGAAUAUGAAAAAUCGAGUUCGUGGACACGUAGUUUGUUUAAAUCGGAGUUUCUACGGAAAAGUUAUGACCAAAAAUGGAAAUUUACUAUUAUGGUUAUUAUUUCCCUAUUAUUUUAAAGGAAAGUGGGUAAAAAAGGAGAGAGAGAGAGAGUGAAAUCGGGAGAACCCGAUUCCAGCCCCCCCCCCUCCUUCUUUCUUCUUUUUCUCUUCUUUCUUUCCUUUCCUUGCUGCGAAACCGGAACCCAUUUCCGGCGAAAUCACCGCCACCGUCCGCACCACCGGCCAUUAGAGGAUCCUCUCUUCUUCCUCUUGCAUCUAAGCUUGUUUUGAUCUAUGGAGGAAGAUUUGAAGGUGUUUGAGCGUGUGAACAGUAACGUGAACAGUAACUGUCGGGUUCUUGGUUUUUGUUUGAUUUCUCCGGCCUUUUCUGCUUGAUUUUGGUUGUUGUUGCAGGACGGAUUGAUCCCUUGAGCGAGGGGAUACGGGUAGGCAGCAGGAUUAGCUGCGAGACUCACCUUUUGCAGGCGAAUGAGUUGAGGUCGGGCGUACACGAAAUUGAGGCAUAGUCAGCAGCAUGGCUUCCGCAUCUGCCUUUGAAUUAGGUUUUCCUCAUAUACCUUUCUGUUAGAAUUGCUCUGAUUACCUAUGGGAUUUAUGUUAUUCAAGUUGAGAUAUGUGUUUUGUGAAUUGGAGAUUGAUGUUGAUUUGGGGAGCAGGGUGGCUCCAGGGGCAUAAGGAUGAUUCGAUUGAGAAGUGUAAAUGUUCCCUACAGGUUUGGGUUGCCCAUUUUAGGGGAAGUUCCGCCAAAUUUUUGGUAGAAUUUCUUCUAAGGUGGGCCCCGCAGGGUCACUUCGGAUUUCAGGGUGAAAUCCGGGGCGGGUCCUGUCAGUUGGUAUCAGAGCAUUAGGUUGUCAGAUUCUGUAGACUUGUUUCUAUCCUGUUACCUUACACGCUUGAUGUUACACAGUACCUCCCGAGUGAUGGCCCGACUGCAGCGGUUCCCCAUCGUUUACUCUUCGGUGCUGAUGUAUUCAUUAAGUGUGUAAGGUGCAUGUCUAGAUGAUGUUCCUUUAGGUGCUAUGCCUUUUGUACGCCGACCUCCUAGGGUUUUCGUUGCGUAGUGGAUUGUUUGCAUGUUUUCCACAUUUCCCUGCUGAUGGUAGAGUAAGACUAUACAAUUUUGAGUUGUGCUACGAAAUAUGAUUCGAGAAAAUGUUGUGGUUAUUUCUUCCUCGACUCCAGUAAGUUUAUUGGAGCAAGGUUAAUGUGUGAGACUGGAGUUCUAUUUCGUGCUUGAGUGUCUGAGACGAGCAACCAUAGCUUUGGCUGUCCCUUGAUAAUAUAAUUGCUUCAGGAAUCAGGAUUGUUGUUAGAAGCAGAAUUAGUAGUAAUGGUGGUUCUCACUUUGAACCCAGUUUCGGGUGAUGUCUACUUAACGUGACCGGUUACAUAAGCGACAUCUGAGACAUUACUGCAGCCGUUGGAGAUUACUUGAAAAUCAUAGGACUGGUCAUCUUGAGUCAUUGACCUGACCAUGACAUUUGGAUUUAGUUUUAUUCGUAGUGAAAGAAAUUGAUUCCAGAUAAUUUGAGCUAUUGUAUCAUCUUAUUAAGUUCUAGAUUGUAGAGAAUUGGGAGAUGGAUAGAAUGGACUUUUGAAAUAAUUUAUGUUUGAAACUUGAGUAUUUAUUUGGAUGCUUGAAGUUUUACAAUGGAGUUACGAUCUUUGUCGGUAUUCAAUUGGGAGGAUUAGGAAUAACUUUUGUACUUGAGAUUGUGCCGAUGUCUGUCCUUGAUUAUUUGAGUGGAAUGGUUGAAAGUAACGGAAUGUUUUGGAAGAAUUGAGUGAAUUUUUACUACCUUGGUGCCAUUACUGGUGGCGAUGGGUUAAGUUGUUUAUGAUAUUAGUUCUCACUUUGAUCGACCUUUUUACGACAUGAUGACUCUUGAUUGGAAUAGUGUAGAAAGUUUUGGUACGAGUGAUAUCUGAUCACCAUCAUGUGUUUAAUAGUAAGAUGACUUGAACAGGAAGUAGGAGUUGAGUUUGGAAUUAAUUGAUUGGACUUAAGUUUUAUCAAGGUUUCAACCGACAUUUAAUGAAGGUAUUAAAUGGUGAGCUGCUAUGAUUGAGUUGUGUUGUUGGUUUAUUUCUCAGUGAGAAGAGGUUCGGAA